UUUUUUUUUUUUUUUUUUCUUUCUUCUCUCUAGGAGUUGGGUGUGGGGCGGAGGAUAGAUCCACUGUGGAAUUGGCCCCUCUGAUCCGAUAUGGCUGGCGGUGGUGGUGCCCUGUGGUGGCAAGAGGGCUGGUGGAUUCAACCUGAUGGUGGUUAUGACUCAAUUCUGAGUAAUAAUCUCUUGAAGGGUAGCGAUUUCACGGAUGUUGCUGAUACCAUGGAGGUGAUGACAGAAAAUGUCGACGACGAGGUUCCCGUUCUAACAAAGGUAUGGGUGUCCGUGGCUAGUGGUCUGCCUAGGAUGGUGAUGGCGCAAAGUUGGCUGGGAAAUUGGGUUUAUGUUGCUAGAGGCAAUGACUUCAGUCUGGGUUUGGUUUAUGCCGAAUUCAAGGACGAGCAUGAUGACGGUGUGGUGGCUGGAGGUAGUUCCUACUACACCUCUCCUAGGUUGGGCUUUAAGCCUAAAAUUCUAGGGUUUCAGAAUGGGCCUUGGACAUAGAGCUUCAAUUUUUGGGCAUCUUCUGCCCUCUUAGAUCCAGGAGAUGCUUCUUCUGAUUAGAUUUUUAAACUAAAGAUAAUUUUGUCAUUCAUAUAUUCAUCACAUGCCACAAUAGGUCAUUACAUAUCAUGCCGUUGCCAUUGAAAGCAGUCAAGAAGUUAAGUGGGAAUACCCACUAAUGAUUAGGGGUGGACAUAAAAAACCGUAAUCUCGAACCUGUCCUGGGCCUGUCCCGAAAUUUGCCGGGACGGGACGGGAUUUAAAUCUUAAAAUGUUAGGCCCGUCCUGUUUAUAUAUAACGGGACAGGACACGGGACGGAUAAUUCAAGUCCCGUUUAGGCCCGUCCCGUCCCGUCUUAUCCCGACUAUUUUAAUGAUUGAUUUUUUAUUAAUUAAGAUGUGAUUUAAGCAUUUCAUUUAAAUGUUUUGAUCUUAGCUCUUUGUUUCUUUAAGUUACUAGGUUGUUAUCAAUUCAAUAACAGUGAUGUUUAAUACUUUAAUUUGUUGAUUGUUGUAGACUCUCUUAUUGCACCAUAGUAGUAAUGACAAGUUUGGAGAAAGUAAGUAGUAUAAACUCUCUUAUUACAUCAUGUUGUACCUGUAAAUAUGUUACACGUACUUGUUAAUACAUAAUAGAGUAAAGAGCACUAUAAAACUAUAAAACUAUAAAACUCUUUCUUUUGCUUACACGUUUAUUUUCAACUUUUUUUAUCUGGGAUUAGACCCGGCCCGUCCCGUCGCAUCUCGUCCCAACCGGGAUAGGGCCCGGGUGGGAUGAAAUCUAAAAAACGCAAAGCCCGUCCCGUCCCGAUUUCAAUGACCAGGACGGGCCGUGAGAUUAGCUUUAUCCCGUCUCAUCUAGCCUUAUGCCCAGCCCUACUAAUGAUACAUAGAAAUAGACUUAUUGUAAAAUCAGAUACAUAGAGAUAACAGAUAUUCUUCUUCGGUACUACUCCAAAGACGCUAGAGAUACUCAAAACUACCAUAGAAAAUAGACAUACACGCCGAGAGGCGCAUGAGGCACACAAUGUGCUUAGGAUCCUAAUGAAAGGAACUUAUUGUAAUAGAAAAACUAGAAAAAUAAAAAUAGCAGCCCAAAACCCAAAAAAGAACUAAACCUAAUCUCAAACAGUUGACCUAGCCCAGCCUUUCUUCCUAGUUGCAGGUAAGACAUGAAAGAAAAGCCGAAUACCGUCACCGUUGUGAAAACAGCGCCGCUGAGUCCCGCAACCACUAACACGGGAAGAAAAAAACUCCAUCUUUUCCACGAACACAGGGUCCACACAACACCUCCUCCAAACCAAAAUUUCUCCCUUAAAAAACAAGGAUGGAGAUUUUACGCCGUCACCGCCAUUCGGGAAGAUGGAAUCAUAUCUAUUCCUCAAGCCAGUUUUCAUGGUGAUAUACCUCCAACCCGAUCUGAAAAACCACACUGGUUAAAAGUUGUUUAGAACCUCUAGCCAAUUACCUCUCAAAACAAUGAGUUGCCGACGUAUCCUUUAUCAGUCAGCAAAGUCAUACAACAUCUGUGCAAUCAAAAGACUUGCCUAGCCUUAGACUGCCGCCGAAUGAGGAUGGGAUUUUGUGGUUGGUUGCCGACUUAGAGAGAGAGAGAGAGAGAGAGAGAGAGAGAGNNNNNNNNNNNNNNNNNNNNUUUUUUUUAAGAAGGUUUAGGGUUAUGUUUCAUCUUGUUGUAUUUCAUUAUCUAAAAUUAAAAGAAUAUGUCGAUUUUCCUCAAUCCUCAAUUUUUUUUUUUUUUUUAAGAAGGGCCGGUGCCUUGAUUAAUGAAACCAUAGAAUACAAGAGGGGGACAUAGAGCCUAAACCCCAAAUUACAAAGAGUAACAUAUUCUAACAUGUACCAGUUAGCAAAGAGUGCAUCAUUGACAACUCGAUAUGUUUUAACUAAACGGAAAGAUAACUGUACUAAGGACAAGCAUCAUGACGAUUAAUAGUGCAACUUUCCUAUUAUGUUGCCGCACGGAAUCAUAUCCGGCGACCCUAUCUUUCAUCCUGUCAUUAGGAGGUUGAGACCGUUUGACAAAGCAAGAACUCGCAACUCACCUAGGACAAACAAGGCACGCAAGGUGCCAAUACCGGGACAACGCCCACAUCUCCUUAUUGAAAACAAUAAAUAACUAGAAGCUAGUAAAAUAAAAAAACAUAAAGCUAGUAAUAUAAUUGCCCUAAGUGGGCUAAUUUCCUUAACCCUGGCCCAAUGGACCAACCCUAGCAACAACCCAGUCCUCUUUCCAGCCCAAAUCCGAAGUUGCUCUGCCUUGUCUCCCCACCACCGGUGUCAGGCCUCCAACGCCUCGCCGUCCGGCCAUCGACCAAGCAUCUCAGUCCCUCCACCACCUACUAGCACACCGAGAUUAUGCAAAUGGAUUCGGAGCCAACCCAACCCGCCAUUGAUCUGAAGCAGCCGUCCCGUUGAUCCAACUGGCCAUCUUGCUCGCCGAUAGCCGCCUGAUGCCGCUCCAAUC
rnacentral:lncRNA from 1 species